ensembl:lincRNA
CUUCAAUGGAGUCAGGCUAACAGAUGGCCUUGGGGUGCCAUCAGCCUUGUUCCCAGAGGAACACUCCAAAGCCUGAUGGCCUUGUAGAUCUUACCUUUCUUCCUCACUCUUCCCAGCGGUUCUAGGUCACUUGUCUGUGUGUCAUUUAAGAAUCUCUUUAUCCACUUUGUUGUUAGGUUUAUGUUUAGGGAAGUUUCUCAGACAUCCCUGGGUCUUGAGAAGGCAGGCUUGGAUUCCGGGUUCUCCCCUGCCGCGUGUCUGCCAGGUCGAGGUGGAGGCUGAAGGCCGGUCUGAGUUGUGGUGGUCUGUGUGGUCUUCGGGUCAGUGGACCCCCUCUUCCCUAGAGGGGCAGGGAGACCCUUUGUGUGGAGCCUGGAGAGACUUGACAGGGUCAGUCUUCAGAGUCUCACUCUCUUUUUAAUUAGUGUUUGCAUUUAGUUACUUACUCAUUUCACUGUUUUCUAGGAGUUGGCAACAUCUACGGAAGAACUCAAUAUAUGCCGGGAACAGCUUCUUGCAAGAGAAGAAGAAAUAGCUCUGCUGAAUGCAGAGCGGAAUAAUACCAGGCUGCUGCUGGAGCACCUGGAGUGCCUGGUUUCCCAGUAUAUAACGUCCCUCCAGACGACGGCGGGCAAGUGGCAGGCGCAGUCCCCAGACGGCAUGACCAGCGAGCUGGAGGUGCUCAAGGCGCUCAAAUCACUCUUUGAGCACCACAAGGCCCUGGACAAGAAGAGAACCUGCGACGAAGACCUGGCUCAGGUGAUCGAGCUCCAGGAAAUCAUCGAGAAGAAGUCACGGGAGCAGAGAGAGAUGAAGCACCGCCUGGCAGCCCUCUCUGCCCACGUGACAGAGCUGGAGAAGGACCUGGACACGGCCAGGAAGGACCUCCUCAAGUCCAAGGAGGUGAAAGUGAAACUACAGCAGGACAUCCGUGAAGUGCAGCCCCUGAAAGAUCAGGACCGGGAACGCGGGCAGCAAGCCAGCGUGCUGGCCAACGUGGGCCAGCUGUUCAAGAGUGACAAGGGUGUGUCAGACGGCGAGGGUGACCGGGUCACCCUCUUCAGCAUGCCCACUCUGCUGUCGCCCCGCGGCCAGGCCGAUGCCAAGACUCCGGCCGGGAGGAUUCAGAAGCAGCUGGACAGGAUCAACGAAGAAAGCUGGUUGAUCCAAAAAGACAAGGAGAACACGGAUCAGCGGGCGGAGGGGAUUGAGAGCAGGGUGGGCAGUGGGAGCUUCAGCAACCUUCGGCGCUUUAACUCCUCCAACUCCCUCAACCUGGAUCCCGCCUCCUCGCAUGCCGGCUCCUUCCCGCCCAGCAGAGGGCGCUCCAUGCCCGAAAGGAGGCAGCACAGCCCUGAGCGAGAAGAAGACAAGCUGGGCUUCAUGACUCUGCUGCCAGCCUUACAGGAAGAGGUAGAAGAUGACACCAUCAAAUGUGAAACCUCGACCUCCGCCUCGCUGCGGUCCUUUCGGCUGGACCGGCUCACGGGCUCACUGCGCACAGCCAGCGAUGAGGACAUCAGGGACGCCCACAACGCGACAGGCUCUCAGGACGGUCCCGGGGGCAACCCCAGCAACAGCAACAGCAGCCAGGACUCGCUGCAGAAAGCCCCAAAGAAGAAGGGCAUCAAGUCCUCCAUCGAUCGUUGGUUUGGCAAGAAGGAAAAGGGCCGGCCUGGACACACCAGCAGGGAGGCGUUAGGACCAGGUGGGGCUUCACCGUUCAGAGGGAGGAGGGUCUGCGUGUAUGUCCCUUCUGUGUCUCCCCCGCUGUCCCCACGAGGCUCCUGUCACUCACGCUAGGUGUCCUUCUGGGAGGAGUGGAUGAGGCGUCUGUCUUCUCUAGGGUCCGAGAUGAUCAGAUCAGUUGAUGAGUGGAUGGGUGGACAGGUAGAUGAACAGAUGGCUGGCUGGAUGGGUGGGUGAACGGAGCAUGGAAUGAGUAAAGCAGAUGCUUACUCCCAUGAGAAACGUAUUCUACGAAACGGAUUGAGUAGGAGCUGGGCAAUGACUGUUUCCUCCAGAACAGUGACAAGUGUUUGGAAACGGCCUAAGUGCUCAUCAGAGAGGAGUGAGGUACAAUCUGUGGGCACCCCACAAGGAACAGCAUCCCCUCCUUCCUGCCACUUUCCCCAUCCCCAGGGGCUCAUGAGGGGUUCUGCCCAUUACCCCACCCCAGCCCACAGCCACUCAGGUCCUCCUGGGGUCAACUCAUCACACAGUGUUAUCAUCAGGCCCCCGUCUCUCUCGGCUUCAUCUCCUUAAGGACAGGGUAUGUUCCUGCCUCUUCAGCCAGAUAUUUGUUGAGUGUCUUCUUUUGCUGGGUGUGGGAUUUACAGGGUGAGUAAAAACAAUGUGGUCUGGAGCACAGUGAAGGGAAAGAGAAAAAAAGGAGCA